rnacentral:rRNA from 1 species
ACUGCGGAAGGAUCAUUAUUGAAUUU